ensembl:lncRNA
UAAUAAUAACCCAAAUAGCUGUACUAUCCUUUAUUAGUUCUUAGGUACUUUAUGCUUCGUUGUAGCAAGUGAAAUUAGAACACAGUAUGUUAAAGACUUUGAUGUGUCUGUAUGCUUAGAGGGUUUUUUUUUAUACUGAUAUUUCAUGUAAGAAGUAACUGGAGGGCCUAAGUGGUUAUCUGCAUUCGGUUACAGAAGGGAUGAAUCUGUGCUUUGUAAAUACCUGAUAGUCAUCCCACUAUUGUUCUGCAUUAAAGCGAAACAAAGCUCACUCAAUUUUCUAUUAGCAGGUCUUUUUUUAAAACUGUAAUACUUGAUUUAAAGCAAGGCUAGGAUUAGCAAGGUAUUUUGUUGGAAGUUAAUUACUUGGUUAAAAAGCUUCUUCUGUGAGCAUCAGAUUACACGUAAUGUAUUGCAAAAUAUUUUAGGGAGCACACAUUGUGCCUGAGAAAGAGAGAUCCUUCUCUUAAAUAAAGUUUACCUACUAGGUAGGAUCAACACUGCAUGUGUUUUUAUCCUUAACUAAAUAGGAUAUUUGUCUUGCAUCUUGUAAAAUAUUUCCUAGUCGUGAGAACUGAUCAUUAUGAAAUAAAUACCUAAUCCUUUUAAUAUCAAAGUGAAGUUCUGUUUUAAAUAUCCUUUAAAGAUGGUCAUGUUUCUCUAAUUGCUGUAUUUCAAUUAAUAUGAAUAUUUUUCUUUUGGUUGUUACAUUUGUGUGGGAACUGUUGAGUCAUGGCCUGAACAACUGAUUGAACACCUGUGGAAAGGAUCGAGUCAGCCCUGGGAGCACAGGUGAAAGCAAUUCAGCUGUGGCCAAAGGGUGGAGCCUGGCUGCACCUCUCUUAGACCCCCAUUUAAGGGCUGACUACUGCUGGGGAAGAAUCUUUUUCUGGGGAUCCCUCCUUGAUGCAGCUUUCCCUUGUGAUCCUGAAAUCUUCUGAUACAGGAAAUGAACUUGAUAGCGGAGCUGUUUCCUCCCGAAGAUGGAGGGGUUUUUUUCUGUUUCAUAGAAUGCUGUUUACACCCUAUGCUGCUGUUUUCUUAUGUUUUGUUGAUAAAAUGAAUCAUCUGAAAGCAGCUUUUAACUCUGUUCCACAUUUGUUCCUGGCAUGAG